GUACACUCCUGCGGGAGGCAGCAGUGGGGAAUAUUGGACAAUGGGCGCAAGCCUGAUCCAGCCAUGCCGCGUGAGUGAUGAAGGCCCUAGGGUUGUAAAGCUCUUUCACCGGUGAAGAUAAUGACGGUAACCGGAGAAGAAGCCCCGGCUAACUUCGUGCCAGCAGCCGCGGCAAUACGAAGGGGGCUAGCGUUGUUCGGAUUUACUGGGCGUAAAGCGCACGUAGGCGGACUAUUAAGUCAGGGGUGAAAUCCCGGGGCUCAACCCCGGAACUGCCUUUGAUACUGGUAGUCUUGAGUUCGAGAGAGGUGAGUGGAAUUCCGAGUGUAGAGGUGAAAUUCGUAGAUAUUCGGAGGAACACCAGUGGCGAAGGCGGCUCACUGGCUCGAUACUGACGCUGAGGUGCGAAAGCGUGGGGAGCAAACAGGAUUAGAAACCCCGGUAGUCCCAUG
rnacentral:rRNA from 1 species